UGGGGGAUAUUGCACAAUGGGCGAAAGCCUGAUGCAGCGACGCCGCGUGGGGGAUGAAGGCUUUCGGGUUGUAAACCUCUUUCGCUAUCGAACAAGGCCCGCUUAGGGUGGGUUGAGGGUAGGUGGAGAAGAAGCGCCGGCUAACUACGUGCCAGCAGCCGCGGUAAUACGUAGGGCGCGAGCGUUGUCCGGAAUUAUUGGGCGUAAAGGGCUUGUAGGCGGCUUGUUGCGCCUGCUGUGAAAACGCGGGGCUUAACUUCGCGCGUGCAGUGGGUAGGGGCAGGCUUGAGUGUGGUAGGGGUGACUGGAAUUCCAGGUGUAGCGGUGGAAUGCGCAGAUAUCUGGAGGAACACAGAUGGCGAAGGCAGGUCACUGGGCCAUUACUGACGCUGAGGAGCGAAAGCAUGGGUAGCGAACAGG
rnacentral:rRNA from 1 species